rnacentral:lncRNA from 1 species
CAAUAACCUAUGGAACCCUAGAAAUGAGGGAAAACGCAAAAUGCACCGAUUAAUCGGGAGAAAAUGGAAGGAAAUGGUGAAAGAGUGAAGAAACCCUAAGAUUGAAUGAAGUUGAUCAGUGGAAAAGAUGAACUGAUGAGACAGAAUGUAGAUCUGAGACUCAAAUGGUGUUUCGGUGAUGCAAAGAUGAGGAAAUGGAAUCUGUGAUGAAAUGAUGGAGAUGAGCUCUUCGAGAGAGAAACUUACUCUGGACGAAGAAGAUGCAAGAGUGAUAUGACGAAAUGAAACGCUGAUGCUUGGAGAGAAUACGCGAGUCAGCGUAUUGAAGACGUGG